GCUGACUUCGCCAGAGAGCAGCGAGUGUGUGAGAGAAGAAGAAUCGGUCACGCUUGGAGUGAGAUGCUGCCUAAUGGACCAGAGUCCUGCACUGAGUAACUGUGAGUGCCCAGCGAAGGCCAGGGGACGUCGGUCGUGAGAGACUGAAAUUCCCAGGACCUUGAAGAUCUCAACAGUUGGCACAGGGCAGUUGGACAGCGUGAGGGGCAGCUGUGGCGAAGGAUGCCUCCUGAAGUCCAAAAUCAUCUCUACAGUCUUGAGCGUGCUCAGCUCCAGGUUGUGUCUGCCGCACCACAACUCCGCUCCAUUGUCUGUCGAAACAGCAGUCGUAUCUCAAGUUUGUACUCGCUAGUCAAAGCAAGAACUUGGUCAAUGGACAGGUCGUAUCUCAAAGAACUCGUGUGUGACAAUUAAGAAUCUCCAAAAGUGAGAUGCGAGAGGUACAUCUGCGACAUGACUCACCUUUGCAUUACGCAUUUGUCAUUUGAACUGUUUGCAUUUGUGAAGCGUACUACUAAACACUUGCAUAACAGUUUUUAUAAAGGAAUGUUAAAAUGCUGCCCGUAAAUAUUUAAAGGUUUUAUUGAUGGCAACAGUUUUAAUGUUUGGAUAUCAUAUUGAAGGAAUGGAUUAUGAAUGACG